rnacentral:tRNA from 1 species
AAAAUAGAAUAAACUUAACUUCGAAUUAAGUAAUGGCUAAGCCCUAUUUUA